AAGUCGUAACAAGGUUUCCGUAGGUGAACCUGCGGAAGGAUCAUUAUUGAGCUACCGGGGUCUUGAAAGAGACUCCGCUCUGGCCCACCCGUGCCGAAUGAACCUGUUGCCUUGGUCGGCCCGCCCUGUAGGGCCAUCGAGAGACUUUUUAAUGGUCUCUGGAUCCGUGCCGGCCGAGGAUGCGGGCACUUCUUUGCUUUUGCUAGGAGGUGACCAGCACUAAAACUCAUUAUAAAACGGCGAUGGAGUCUGAAGCUUUGAUAAAUUAAAUCAAAACUUUCAACAAUGGAUCUCUUGGUUCC
rnacentral:misc_RNA from 1 species